AGCUGCGUCCACCUCAACUAGAAUCCGUGCAAAUGAUAAUCGUCUCUUUGUAGUUGUGAGUAAAUCAGUUGUGAUUGGUUUUCCAAUCUUUGUUGCAAUCAUACUCAGUGCAUUGGGUGUCCAAAAAUUUAGGGGCAGCCCCGGUAACGUCACCCACACCGGCAUAAUGCUAAUAUCGGUAUCAUCAAACUCGAAAAAUGGUGGGACAUGUUUUAACAUCAGUGGUCGCCCAUACACAAAAUAAGGGCCUCCUUCUAGCACUUGUGUUCUAUCCUCAGCAUUCUCAAACUUGAACACGAGCCAACCACUUUGAUGGACAAAGUACUGGUACUUUACCCCCCAUUGAUUACACAUUUGCAAGAGGGCUGUUUUGCCUGGGAAUCGUCGAGCAAAAUACCCCACCAGGCAGUAACCCCAAGCUGUGUGAUCAUCUUCAAUAUCAGCUUCCUCAAAAACAAGUAUAUCUGGCAGGUUCUCGCAGGUUUUAAGCUUGAAACCAUUCUCACGCUUACGGUUCUCCUUGAAUAAACUAGUCCACUGUGUCUUAGUGGAAUCUGAUUCCUUUUCUUGGCCUGAAAUGUUGGUUUGCUUAACUGCAGUAGAUUCAUCCUCUGAAG
rnacentral:lncRNA from 1 species